rnacentral:ribozyme from 1 species
ACAAACCAAAAGGAACAAAAGAAAAGAAAAAGCAAACCACACAGCCUUUCCUUCCUUCUUUCUCUUCCUUUUUUUUUUCCUCCUGCUUGUCUUCUUCCU